GUGGGGAAUAUUGGGCAAUGGGCGAAAGCCUGACCCAGCAACGCCGCGUGAAGGAAGAAGGUCUUCGGAUUGUAAACUUCUUUGAUCAGGGACGAAAGAAAUGACGGUACCUGAAGAACAAGCCACGGCUAACUACGUGCCAGCAGCCGCGGUAAUACGUAGGUGGCAAGCGUUAUCCGGAUUUACUGGGUGUAAAGGGCGUGUAGGCGGUUCUGCAAGUCAGAUGUGAAAUUCCCGGGCUUAACCCGGGCGCUGCAUCUGAAACUGCAGAACUUGAGUACUGGAGAGGAUAGUGGAAUUCCUAGUGUAGCGGUAAAAUGCGUAGAUAUUAGGAGGAACACCAGUGGCGAAGGCGGCUAUCUGGACAGUAACUGACGCUGAGGCGCGAAAGCGUGGGGAGCAAACAGGAUUAGAAACCCGAGUAGUCC
rnacentral:rRNA from 1 species